AAAACUCUACAAUAAUCAAAUACUACAUAUUAUCAAAUAAAGUAUUACCUUAAUCCAAGAUUUGGUGUAGAGCCGAGCGAAAUCAUGUAAGCUUGAUAUCAAAAUAACGGAUCUGGCAAAUUCAUACGGUGCAACUUUGAUAGAAGAUCAAAGAGCAGCGAUUGUUUCCAUUUGCAGCACUAAAAUCGCAGCCCGAACCCAAAGGUUUCCACUACCCGAACCCUUAAUUGUCUCCACAAAGGUUUAGGGGUGGAAGGUGAGAAGAAUCAAAGAUUUUGAUGUGUAUGAAGGUUUUCCUCAUGUGGAUUUUCGUCCCUCAAGUUAAUUAGAACUCUGUCGAUUAUGACGACGCUAGGGUUUUGGGAGGAGAAUUCAU
rnacentral:lncRNA from 1 species